rnacentral:snRNA from 1 species
AACAACAACAACAACGCC